rnacentral:rRNA from 1 species
GACGAACGCUGGCGGCGUGCUUAACACAUGCAAGUCGAACGGAAAGGCCCUGCUUUUGUGGGGUGCUCGAGUGGCGAACGGGUGAGUAACACGUGAGUAACCUGCCCUUGACUUUGGGAUAACUUCAGGAAACUGGGGCUAAUACCGGAUAGGAGCUCCUGCUGCAUGGUGGGGGUUGGAAAGUUUCGGCGGUUGGGGAUGGACUCGCGGCUUAUCAGCUUGUUGGUGGGGUAGUGGCUUACCAAGGCUUUGACGGGUAGCCGGCCUGAGAGGGUGACCGGCCAAAUGGGGACUGAGAUACGGCCCAGACUCCUACGGGAGGCAGCAGUGGGGAAUAUUGCAAAAUGGGCGGAAGCCUGAGGCAGCAACGCCGCGGGCGGGAUGACGGCCUUCGGGUUGUAAACCGCUUUCGCCUGGGACGAAGCGUGAGUGACGGUAAUGGGUAAAGAAGCACCGGCUAACUACGUG